ensembl:lncRNA
CUCUGUGAUGACAGAUGGCUGCACUCACAGGGAGGUCCAGUGCUGUAGUCAAAAAAGUGUGAAGUCGUUGUGCAUUAUGACAAGUCUUUAUUUGGACGAUGGUGGAGAGCACUGGUGUGAGAUUGAAGGAGGGAGGAAAGGCAACAGUGUCAACAUCUCUGUCACUGCUGGUUCUGUGAUCCUGGAGGGAGAAGAUGUGACGCUGCUCUGCAGAAACAAGAUGAUUUCCUCCAAUAUUGCAGCUGAUUUCUAUAAAUAUGGGCAUCACAUAGGGAACAGCUCAACAGGAAACAUGACCAUCCACAGAGUUUACAAGUCUGAUUAAGAACUUUACACGUGCAAGAUCUCAGGAGGUGGAGAAUCACCAGAGAGCUGGCUGUCUGUCUCUCUGCCAUGUGUCACAGCCGAUCACACAGAGACUCAGAGAGACCACUCGUCUGCCGUAUUUACCUCAUCUCACGGACUGUGUUCACUGUGGCGAUGGUGGCGCUGCUGGUGGUGGUGGGAUGUCUUCAUUGCGGGAAAGUCAUUUGUAAAUAACUGUUCCCUGAUUUCACGCUUUGUAAUCAAACACAGAAAAUAAAUC